AUUGAACGCUAGCGGAAUGCUUUACACAUGCAAGUCGAACGGCAGCACGGACUUCGGUCUGGUGGCGAGUGGCGAACGGGUGAGUAAUGUAUCGGAACGUGCACAGUCGUGGGGGAUAACGUAGUGAAAAUUACGCUAAUAACGCAUACGAUCUAUGGAUGAAAGCGGGGGAUCGCAAGACCUCGCGCGAUUGGAGCGGCCGAUAUCAGAUUAGGUAGUUGGUGGGGUAAAGGCACACCAAGCCGACGAUGUGUAGCUGGUCUGAGAGGACGAACAGCCACACGGGGACUGAGACACGGCCCAGACUCCUACGGGAGGCAGCAGUGGGGAAUGUUGGACAAUGGACGAAAGGCUGAUGGAGCGAUACCGCGUGGAGGAUGAAGGCCCUCGGGUUGUAAACUGCUUUUGUACAGAACGAAAAGGGUUAUACUGAUACGAGGAGCUGAUGACGGUACUGUAAGAAUAAGCACCGGCUAACUACGUGCCAGCAGCCGCCGUAA
rnacentral:rRNA from 1 species